CGGGCCAUAGCUCAGUAGUAGAGCUCCCGUUCCCUAUGCGGGAAGACCUGCGUUCGAUUCCCAGCUGCUUGU
rnacentral:tRNA from 1 species